rnacentral:rRNA from 1 species
CAGCAGCCACGGUAAAACGAAGGGGGCUAGCGUUGUUCGGAUUUACUGGGCGUAAAGGGCGCGUAGGCGGACUGAUAAGUCAGGGGUGAAAUCCCAAGGCUCAACCUUGGAACUGCCUUUGAUACUGUUUGUCUUGAGUUCGAGAGAGGUAAGUGGAACUGCGAGUGUAGAGGUGAAAUUCGUAGAUAUUCGCAAGAACACCAGUGGCGAAGGCGGCUUACUGGCUCGAAACUGACGCUGAGGCGCGAAAGCGUGGGGAGCAAACAGGAUUAGAUACCCCGGUAGUCCCUGUCUCUUAUAC